rnacentral:rRNA from 1 species
AUGGGGCAGUGCUACGGCAAGGGCGCGUCCGCGCGCGGCGGGGCCGGGGACGACGACUUCGGGGUCGUGGCGGAGACGCACUCGCCGCCCCCGGCCAACGGCGCCCCGCAGACGCCGCCGCCGCGGCAGCCCACGCCGGCCGCCGCGGCCGGGACCCCGCGGCGCCGCAAGUCCGGAUCGACUACGCCCGUGCACCAGACGCCCGGGGUCGCCUGGCCCAGCCCCUACCCCGCGGGGGGCACCAGCCCGCUGCCGGCCGGGGUGUCGCCCUCGCCGGCCAGGUCCACGCCCAGGCGGUUCUUCAAGCGCCCCUUCCCGCCGCCCUCGCCGGCCAAGCACAUCAAGGCCACGCUCGCUAAGAGGCUGGGCGGAGGGAAGCCCAAGGAGGGGCCGAUACCGGAGGAAGGCGCGGUUGCGGCCGGAGCCGGCGCUGGAGCCGUCGCGGAUGGGGCGGAAGCGGAAAGGCCAUUGGACAAGACGUUCGGAUUCGGGAAAAACUUCGGGGCCAAAUACGAGCUCGGGAAGGAGGUGGGGAGGGGCCAUUUCGGGCACACCUGCUCGGCCGUCGUGAAGAAGGGCGAGUACAAGGGCCAGACCGUCGCCGUCAAGAUCAUCUCCAAAGCUAAGAUGACAACAGCCAUUUCCAUCGAAGAUGUUCGUAGGGAAGUGAAGAUUUUGAAAGCUCUAUCAGGUCACAACAAUCUUGUCAAAUUCUAUGAUGCAUGUGAGGAUGCCCUCAAUGUCUACAUUGUCAUGGAAUUAUGUGAGGGUGGAGAAUUGCUAGACAGAAUAUUAGCCAGAGGUGGGAGAUACACAGAAGAAGAUGCUAAAGCGAUCGUUGUACAGAUUUUGAGUGUAGUGGCCUUUUGUCAUCUUCAGGGAGUAGUGCAUCGUGAUUUGAAGCCAGAGAACUUCCUUUUCACAACAAGAGAUGAAAAUGCGCCCAUGAAGUUGAUUGAUUUUGGUCUCUCUGAUUUCAUCAGACCAGAUGAAAGGCUCAAUGAUAUUGUUGGAAGUGCAUAUUAUGUUGCCCCAGAGGUUCUACACAGAUCAUACAGUAUGGAAGCAGACAUUUGGAGUAUAGGUGUCAUAACAUACAUUCUGCUCUGUGGUAGUCGGCCAUUUUGGGCACGGACAGAAUCUGGAAUCUUCCGAUCUGUAUUGAGAGCUGAUCCCAACCUUGAUGAUUCACCAUGGCCUUCAGUGUCAGCUGAAGCUAAGGAUUUUGUGAAAAGAUUUCUUAACAAGGAUUACCGCAAAAGAAUGACAGCUGUCCAGGCAUUGACUCACCCUUGGUUGCGGGAUGACCAAAGACAGAUUCCGCUGGAUAUUCUUGUCUACAGAUUAAUUAAGCAAUACCUUCGUGCCACUCCUCUUAAACGUUUGGCGCUAAAGGCAUUAUCCAAGGCUUUAAAGGAUGAUGAACUCUUGUAUCUUAGGCUACAGUUCGAUCUGCUUGAACCUAGAGAUGGAGUUGUGUCACUUGACAACUUUCGGACGGCUUUAACGCGGUAUCUAACUGAUGCAAUGAAGGAAUCAAGAAUUCUUGAGUUUUUGCAUGCGUUGGAACCACUUGCAUACAGGAGUAUGGAUUUCGAAGAAUUCUGUGCCGCAGCUAUAAGCCCUUACCAGCUCGAGGCCCUGGACAGAUGGGAGGAGAUUGCUGGAACAGCUUUUCAGCACUUUGAACAGGAGGGCAACCGAGUCAUAUCAGUCGAGGAGUUGGCACAGGAACUAAAUCUUGCUCCGACUCAUUAUUCCAUCGUGCAAGAUUGGAUCAGAAAAACAGACGGCAAGCUAAACUUUCUUGGGUUUACCAAAUUUUUACAUGGUGUUACAAUACGGGGGGCAAACACAAGACGGCAUUAA